rnacentral:rRNA from 1 species
UACGGAAGGCAGCAGUGGGGAAUAUUGCACAAUGGGCGAAAGCCUGAUGCAGCUAUGCCGCGUGUAUGAAGAAGGCCUUAGGGUUGUAAAGUACUUUCAUCGGGGAGGAAAAAACAAAACUAAUAAUUUUAUUUCUUGACGUUACCCGAAAAAGAAGCACCGGCUAACUCCGUGCCAGCAGCCGCGGUAAUACGGAGGGUGCUAGCGUUAAUCAGAAUUACUGGGCGUAAAGAGCACGUAGGUGGUUUUUUUAAAGUCAGAUGUGAAAUCCCUGGGCUUAACCUGGAACUGCAUUUUGAAACUGAAAUACUAGAGUAUCGUAGAGGGAGGUAGAAUUCUAGGUGUAGCGGUGAAAUGCGUAGAUAUCUGGAGGAAUACCUGUGGCGAAAGCGGCCUCCUAAACGAAUACUGACACUGAGGGUGCGAAAGCGUGGGGAGCAAACGAGGAUUAGAUACC